rnacentral:rRNA from 1 species
CACGUAGGGUGCGAGCGUUGUCCGGAAUUAUUGGGCGUAAAGAGCUCGUAGGCGGCUUGUCGCGUCGUUCGUGAAAACUCACAGCUCAACUGUGAGCUUGCGGUCGAUACGGGCAGGCUAGAGUUCGGUAGGGGAGACUGGAAUUCCUGGUGUAGCGGUGAAAUGCGCAGAUAUCAGGAGGAACACCGGUGGCGAAGGCGGGUCUCUGGGCCGAUACUGACGCUGAGGAGCGAAAGCGUGGGGAGCGAACAGG